rnacentral:rRNA from 1 species
AACGAACGCUGGCGGCAGGCCUAACACAUGCAAGUCGAACGUGAAGCCACCUUCGGGAGGUGGAAAGUGGCAGACGGGGGAGUAACGCGUGGGAAUGUGCCUUUCGGUUCGGAAUAACCCAGGAAAACUUGGGCUAAUACUGGAUACGCCGUACGGGGGAAAGAUUUAUCGCCGAAAGAUCGGCCCGCGUCGGAUUAGCUAGUUGGUAGGGUAAUGGCCUACCAAGGCGACGAUCCGUGGCUGGGCUGAGAGGAUGACCAGCCACACCGGGAAUGAGACACGGCCCAGACUCCUACGGGAGGCAGCAGUGGGGAAUAUUGGACAAUGGGCGAAAGCCUGAUCCAGCCAUGCCGCGUGGGUGAAGAAGGCCCUAGGGUUGUAAACCCCUUUCAGCGGGGAAGAUAAUGACGGUACCACAGGAGAAAGCCCCGGCUAACUACGUGCCAGCCGCCGCUGUAACAC